rnacentral:lncRNA from 1 species
GAUUCUUGGCAAUUCCCAUAUACCAUUGGCUAUAAGAGAUUGGUACUCUUCUUCCAUAGCUUUCUCCCACUUGAUUACAUCUUUACACUUCAUACCAUUACACAAAGAUAAUGGAUCAGUAAAAAGAGCAACAUUUGCAUGUUCUUUACUUACUUGGGAAAGGAUGUGAUCCUUCCACCAUUCACUACGUUGCCUUUUUUCUCUCAAAGGAUAUCUCCUUUCACCUGUAGAAGAACAUUCGCCUUCUUACACUCCUUAUUCUUUUUCAACUCUUAAACCUUGUCGUUUUUCAUUCAAUGGUUGGUACUCUUCAUCAUUAUCAUCAUCCUAAUCUUCAACAUCUUCAU